GUUCUUGAUUCCUGGAGGGCUUGCUAAAACACGGACUGCUCCUGGCCUCAGGCGAUGGAUCCUUCAGCCCCAACCUUCCACAGCGCUGGAUUACGGAUGAACAAGCAGAGGCAUGGAGAAGCAGAGUCAUGUGCCCCAGGUCACACAGCCAGGAAAUGGAACAAGCUGGCCACAGGUGUUGGGAGGAACAUGUUGACAAGCUGCCCAGGAUGCCCUGGAGGCCCCUUUGGGGAUCCCCAGUGGAGAUGA
rnacentral:lncRNA from 1 species